rnacentral:rRNA from 1 species
GAUGAACGCUGGCGGCGUGCCUAACACAUGCAAGUCGAGCGAAGCGGGGACGGGUGAGUAACACGUGGGUAACCUCCUUUAAGACUGGGAUAACCUCGGGAAACCGGAACUAAACCGGAUACUGAUAGCUGCAUCCGCGCUGCAUUAGCUAGUUGGUAAGGUAACGGCGUACCAAGGCGACGAGCCCUAGCUGGUCUGAGAGGAGGACCAGCCACACUGGAACUGAGACACGGCCCAGACUCCUACGGGAGGCAGCAGUAGGGAAUCUUGCGCAAUGGACGAAAGUCUGACGCAGCAAGGCCGCGUGAGUGAAGAAGGUUUUCGGAUCGUAAAGCACUGUUGGUAGGGAGGCGGUACCUACACAGAAAGCAACGGCUAACUACGUGCCAGCAGCCGCGGUAAUUC